UACAGAGGUGGCAAGCGUUGUUCGGAAUUACUGGGCGUAAAGGGCGCGUAGGCGGCCUUGUAAGUCCCGUGUGAAAUCCCUCGGCUCAACUGAGGAACUGCACGGGAAACUGCUUGGCUUGAGUUCGGGAGAGGGAAGCGGAAUUCCGGGUGUAGCGGUGAAAUGCGUAGAUAUCCGGAGGAACACCGGUGGCGAAGGCGGCUUCCUGGACCGACACUGACGCUGAGGCGCGAAAGCGUGGGGAGCAAACAGG
rnacentral:rRNA from 1 species